GCGACAUGGGCAAGUCUCCUACGGCCAGCUCCCUCGGAAUCCCCCAGGGUGGGAACGCAGCAAGGGUACUUGGUUGUAGCGGCGCGAUAGGAAUCGCUUGCCCACCU
rfam:Prevotella sp. CAG:1320 genomic scaffold, scf63